UUAACUCAAAUUUGUAUGGAGUUGGAACGUUUGCCUACGUUUGCCACUAGGGGCGCUGUUCCAACUGAACACAAAUUGGAGUUA
rfam:Bombyx mori DNA, contig: Bm_scaf56_contig27881, strain: p50T/Dazao, build 2, whole genome shotgun sequence.